rnacentral:rRNA from 1 species
GGCUCAGAACGAACGCUGGCGGCAGGCUUAACACAUGCAAGUCGAGCGCCUCGCAAGAGGAGCGGCAGACGGGUGAGUAACGCGUGGGAAUCUACCCAUCUCUACGGAACAACUCCGGGAAACUGGAGCUAAUACCGUAUACGUCCUUCGGGAGAAAGAUUUAUCGGAGAUGGAUGAGCCCGCGUUGGAUUAGCUAGUUGGUGGGGUAAUGGCCUACCAAGGCGACGAUCCAUAGCUGGUCUGAGAGGAUGAUCAGCCACAUUGGGACUGAGACACGGCCCAAACUCCUACGGGAGGCAGCAGUGGGGAAUAUUGGACAAUGGGCGAAAGCCU